GACGAACGCUGGCGGCGUGCCUAAUACAUGCAAGUCGAACGCAUUUUCUUUCACCGUAGCUUGCUACACCGAAAGAAAAUGAGUGGCGAACGGGUGAGUAACACGUGGGUAACCUGCCCAUCAGCGGGGGAUAACACCUGGAAACAGGUGCUAAUACCGCAUAAUUCCAUUUACUGCAUGGUAGAUGGAUGAAAGGCGCUUUUGCGUCACUGAUGGAUGGACCCGCGGUGCAUUAGCUAGUUGGUGGGGUAACGGCCUACCAAGGCUGCGAUGCAUAGCCGACCUGAGAGGGUGAUCGGCCACACUGGGACUGAGACACGGCCCAGACUCCUACGGGAGGCAGCAGUAGGGAAUCUUCGGCAAUGGACGCAAGGCUGACCGAGCAACGCCGCGUGAGUGAAGAAGGUUUUCGGAUCGUAAAACUCGGUUGUUAGAAAAGAACAAGGAUGAGAGUGGAAAGUUCAUCCCUUGACGGUAUCUAACCAGAAAGCCACGGCUAACUACGUG
rnacentral:rRNA from 1 species